rnacentral:rRNA from 1 species
GUGAGGAAUAUUGGUCAAUGGACGAGAGUCUGAACCAGCCAAGUAGCGUGAAGGAUGACUGCCCUAUGGGUUGUAAACUUCUUUUAUAAGGGAAUAAAGUGAGGGACGUGUCCCUUUUUGUAUGUACCUUAUGAAUAAGGAUCGGCUAACUCCGUGCCAGCAGCCGCGGUAAUACGGAGGAUCCGAGCGUUAUCCGGAUUUAUUGGGUUUAAAGGGAGCGUAGGUUGACGUAUAAGUCAGCUGUGAAAGUUUACGGCUCAACCGUGAAAUUGCAGUUGAUACUGUAUGUCUUGAGUGUACAAGAGGUGGGCGGAAUUCGUGGUGUAGCGGUGAAAUGCUUAGAUAUCACGAAGAACUCCAAUUGCGAAGGCAGCUCACUGGGGUACAACUGACACUGAGGCUCGAAAGUGUGGGUAUCAAACAGGAUUAGAUACCCCGGUAGUCC